ACAGGCUUCAUCCCGAACGCCAGCAUCAAUCCUAUCUUCUUCUCCCCUUGCUCCACCGCUCAGAGCACACUGCUCUGUCUCCGCCACGCAAUACAGAGAGGAGUGGCCUUCGCCGGCGACGAGGCUCCUCCCUGACCAGAUCCCGCCACAGUCGCGGCGGCAGGGGUCGAGGACGACGACCACGAGGGAUCCGCGGAGGGGGCCAGGGAUUUGGCGUUCGCUACAGCCGAGCACCAGGUACUGCCACGCUACGACUCAGCUCCUCGCCGACCGGAGCGAGGUGCCGUCGCGGUCCGAUGCCGAGCGCCGCCGCGAGCACCAGGCCGCCGCGCUCGGGGCGACGCUGCCCGCACCAUCCCUGCGAUGCGCCCACCUCCAACCCGGCGGCGAUGGCGAUGUCCGCGAGGCCCUGGGCGCGAGGGAGGCGAUGGCGAUCAGCUGAAGCGGCGGCGCCGUCAUCCUACACCGGGAGGCGGGGCCUGGUGGCGCACGAGGCUGCGGGACGCGGAAGGGGGAGAAGCAAUGGAGGUACUGUUCGAGGAGGCGGGGCGCGGAGGGAGAGAGCAGUGGAGGUGCUGACGCUGACGCCGCGGCGCUUCAUGGAGGUCUAGGAGGUGGACGAGGCCUUGCAGCUCGCAGCCGACCUGCUCGCCGAUGCGCCAAUAGGGAUCUGCUCGCCGGCGGGGACGCCGUUUUCUUCUAGUGAUGUGCGGAUGGUGAACUGCUCGCCGGGAUUCACCCCGAGCCCAGGGAGUGGGAGUAUCGGGGAUAGGAUAUGUGCAUCGAGCAGAGGGGGCCGGUGUUCACUUCAGGUUUCUUGCCUCAGUCAGAUCAAUUCUGGAGUCCUUGAUCUCCUCGUCCUUCAUCAACAGCUUUACGUGGGAAGACCAAACGACGGCGUCUUCACGGGCGAUUGGAUCUGAGCUCUCGUCUCGGUUCAUCUCUGCUGCCGGCGUCAUGACGGCGUCAACAGAGUGAACCACAUCAGGUGCACAGCAUCAGGGCACAAUGAUGAAUUUUACGGAGGAUGCUCCUGUAAAGAAAGGCUCUGUUCUCUUAACAAGGAUGGAAAGUAUAACGGCAUACAAAAACCAACAUGGACAACCCAAAUCUGGAACUCCAGAACAAUCUGACAUUCCAGUGGCUGCUAAUGACAUGCGUUCCCUUGCUGAAUGGCCAUCCUAUGCUCGCCGCAACCGUGCGUGACUACAGGAUGAAGCUGGUGGACAGAAGAAGAAAGGCUAAAAGGUUUUAAAGCAUCUAAGAAGCGUUUUGCCAAUGGAUCUGCAAAGCUAAAUAUUACAUUCUCUGAAAAAUUGGGUGGUACAGUAGGAAUGAACUAUCGUUCGUUCAAGGAUGACGUGGUAGUCAUAAUGAAAAGAAAGUUACCACUCAUUGGAUUGAGGACGUGGUCGGACAUUCACCCUACCAUUCAUCGACUCAUUGUUGCAGAUAUAAUAGUAGGACAGAUGGGACCUGGAAGAUACACCAGAAACAGAAGAAAAAGUUCUCAAAAUUGUGAAAGAGAGAUAUAGAGGCUGGCGAUCAACUCUAAGCUCCACUUACAAGGCAUACAAAACAGAUGCAUUGGCUAAUCUGCCUGAAGAUUUACAACCAGAAGAGUGGGAAUGGAUGAUUGAGUACUUUGGCACUGAUUCAAAAUUUCAGGAAUGCAGCCAAAAGAACGCUGAUAACCGUAAGAAACAGAAGACAAAACAUAUAAUCGGAUCAAAAUCUUACUCGCAAGUUAGUUUUGAGAAGAGAAACUUAGAAACUGGAGAAGAGCCAGAUUGUAUUGCUCUAUGGGAACUCACCCACACAAACAAUGGAACAUGGUCUAACACAGAUUCCCAGAAAGUUUACGACCAAGCACUUGAAGAGGUUAAAAACAAAGAAGCUGAAACUGAAGGUCCACUUUCAAGUGAGCAGAAAAACAAUGUUUUCUAGACCGCUUACAAAGACACUCUGGAAUGCAAGUCAUCGCAGCCUCGUGGGUACGGAUACAUGGCCAAAACUUCAACUGGUUCUGAAAAGUUCCGUAUCCAGAUUGAAGAGCAAGCUCGUGCUACAGCAGCCACCCAGGAGCGAAACUCUCAGCUCAGCCAGCAGGUUAAUGACUUAGAAGAUCAACUACAAGCUGAAUGUGCUAACACACAAGAGAGGAUUAACUUGGAGCGUGCUGAGAGAGAACAACUUGAGGAGAGGUUAAAAGAAGAGCGUGCUGAAAUGGAAAGAUUGUUGCAAGAGGAGCGAACAUCAAGACUGGAAUUUGAAAAAAAACAUGAUGGCAAAGUUUAUAGAAUUGAGCAAACAGAUGGAAACCCAACAGGUUCCUACGAAGAGGGUUGACAAAGAAAAUAGUAAUCCAAACUUGCAAAAUAUUCUUUCACAGACAUCUAGUCCUAAUAAGACUCCAGGUUCAAGGCCGACUGCUAUUUCUUCAAAUGCGCUCAUACAAGCUGCAGCAAGGCAAUCUCGAAUGUAUAAAGCAAUGGAUCCAAAGAACUAGCUGGACUGGACUCUAGAUCAC